rnacentral:rRNA from 1 species
AUUGAACGCUGGCGGCAUGCCUUACACAUGCAAGUCGAACGGCAGCAUGGAGAGCUUGCUCUCUGAUGGCGAGUGACGAACGGGUGAGUAAUGCAUCGGAACGUACCGUGUAAUGGGGGAUAACGUAGCGAAAGUUACGCUAAUACCGCAUACGACCUGAGGGUGAAAGCAGGGGAUCGCAAGACCUUGCGUUAUACGAGCGGCCGAUGUCAGAUUAGCUAGUUGGUGAGGUAAAGGCUCACCAAGGCGACGAUCUGUAGCGGGUCUGAGAGGAUGAUCCGCCACACUGGGACUGAGACACGGCCCAGACUCCUACGGGAGGCAGCAGUGGGGAAUUUUAGACAAUGGGGGCAACCCUGGUACAGCCAUGCCGCGGGAGUGAAGAAGGCCUUCGGGUUGUAAAGCUCUUUCGGCCGGGAAGAAAUCGCACAGGCUAAUACUCUGUGUGGAUGACGGUACCGGCAUAAGAAGCACCGGCUAACUACGUGCCAGCAGCCGCCGUAA